UGAGAACACUGAGACCCUCCCUAAUYCAUCAGCUGCCCCUGCCUCCAUACCUGUGCACCGAUGACACCUCCAUGUUUGAUCCAUGCGAGMUGAAUGCAAGGCCUCUCUCACAGUCGCACAGAAGAMCCAAGCCUGAACGCUGCAACUGCAGAGRCGUAAUGGAGGCCAUGCUUACCCUGAGCCCUCUGAUCACACAGACAACGUCCCACAGGCCCACUCCUCUCCCCCGUCUCAUCUACGGCUAACUGGCGUACAUGGUGAGGCGUCUCCUGAAGGUUCGACCUCUGGGCAGGGGAUUCCAGUACCUGGUUGAACGGGAGGGUUAUGGCCCAGAGGAGAGGUGCUGGGUCUCCGAAUUCCACCGGUGGCACCCCGCUCAGCCAGUUUUUCCCAGCUUUGACCCUUCUGCCUGCCCUGACCCUG